UGUCGACCGAACUGCGCAUGCGUUGCCAAAAGCAAAACAAAUUGUUUGAAAUAUUUUAUUGUUUCGUCUAUAAAAUGAUGAUUUUUUCGGGGUUUUGGUGGAAAUGUUGACGUUCUUCAUAGUGGGAUACAAAAGGUGUGUUAGCGACUGAAUAAGGAAAAUAUUGCGUGUGAAACAGGGUCAGUAUAGAGCCGGCAGGAGCCGCGAAGAGUGCUGUUGUCGAAGAAAAAUGUCACAAUUAAUUGUAAUCUUGUCCAUUCUGGCCUCUGUGCCAGUUUGAAAAAGCUUUAAAUGUAGAGACAUUUGUGGUUUCUCCAGCAUAAUUUAGCCGUUUAACGCUAUUAUGUUUCUAAUGGUUGAAAGAGCGCGUGGAAAGGGCAAUUUUCAAGAACAAAAACAAUUACAAAUUAUGUACUGUGUGUUAAUUCACUUAAUUGCUACUGUAAUAUUAAAAUACCUGAAGAGAG
rnacentral:lncRNA from 1 species